rnacentral:rRNA from 1 species
UAAGCAUAUCAAUAAGCGGAGGAAAAGAAACCAACAGGGAUUGCCCUAGUAACGGCGAGUGAAGCGGCAAUAGCUCAAAUUUGAAAUCUGGCUCUGCUUUAGGGUCCGAGUUGUAAUUUGUAGAGGGUGCUUUGGCAUGGAUGGCGGUCUAAGUUCCUUGGAACAGGACAUCACAGAGGGUGAGAAUCCCGUAUGUGGUCGCUAAUCUUUGCUGUGUAAAGCCCCUUCAACGAGUCGAGUUGUUUGGGAAUGCAGCUCUAAAUGGGAGGUAAAUUUCUUCUAAAGCUAAAUAUUGGCCAGAGACCGAUAGCGCACAAGUAGAGUGAUCGAAAGAUGAAAAGCACUUUGGAAAGAGAGUCAAAAAGCACGUGAAAUUGUUGAAAGGGAAGCGCUUGUCGCCAGACUUGCCUGCAGUUGCUCACCUAGGCAUGUAGCCUGGGGCACUCUUCUGCAGGCAGGCCAGCAUCAGUUUGGGCAGCCGGAUAAAGGUCUCUGACACGUUCCUACCUUUGGGUAGAUGUCCAUAUAGGGGAGACGUCAUGCGGUUAGCCUGGACUGAGGUCCGCGCAUUGCUAGGAUGCUGGCGUAAUGGCUGUAAGCGGCCCGUCUUGAAACACGGACCAAGGAGUCUAACAUCUAUGCGAGUGUUUGGGUGUCAAGCCCGAGCGCGCAAUAAACGUGAACGGAGGUGGGAACCCUCUUUGGGGGUGCACCAUCGACCGAUCCUGAUGUCUUCGGAUGGAUUUGAGUAAGAGCAUAGCUGUUGGGACCCGAAAGAUGGUGAACUAUGCUUGAAUAGGGUGAAGCCAGAGGAAACUCUGGUGGAGGCUCGCAGCGGUUCUGACGUGCAAAUCGAUCGUCAAAUUUGGGCAUAGGGGCGAAAGACUAAUCGAACUAUCUAGUA